GACUCGGUGGCGGAGGGUCCGCAUUGCCUUCGUUACGGGUAUAGCGAUACAGUCAGCAGAAGACGCCCGUUCGACUCGGGCCCGAGUUA